GAGUUUGAUCAUGGCUCAGGACGAACGCUGGCGGCGUGCUUAACACAUGCAAGUCGAACGGAACCUUCGGGUUUAGUGGCGAACGGGUGAGUAAAGCGCAGGUAAUCUGCCGCAAAGUCGGGGACAACGUUCCGAAAGGGACGCUAAUACCGGAUGUUGUGCGGAGUCCGCAUGGAUUCUGUACUAAAGAUUUAUCGCUUUGCGAGGAGCCUGCGUCCGAUUAGCUAGUUGGUGUAGUAAAGGUGCACCAAGGCGACGAUCGGUAGCCGGUCUGAGAGGAUGAACGGCCACAAUGGAACUGAGACACGGUCCAUACUCCUACGGGAGGCAGCAGUGGGGAAUAUUCCACAAUGGGCGAAAGCCUGAUGGAGCGACGCCGCGUGAGUGAAGAAGGGCUUCGGCUCGUAAAGCUCUUUUCUAGAGGACGAAUGGCGCAUUGGAUGCGCAGGGACGGUACUCUGGGAAUAAGCCACGGCUAACUACGUGCCAGCAGCCGCGGUAAUACGUAGGUGGCAAGCGUUGUCCGGAAUUAUUGGGCGUAAAGGGAGCGCAGGCGGGACGGUAAGUCCAAAUUAAAAGUGCAGGAGUAAUGCCUGUGAUGGUUUGGAAACUAUCGUUCUUGAGAGCAGGAGAGGCAAGCGGAAUUCCCAGUGUAGCGGUGAAAUGCGUAGAUAUUGGGAGGAACACCAGUGGCGAAGGCGGCUUGCUGGACUGUGUCUGACGCUGAGGCUCGAAAGCCAGGGUAGCGAACGGGAUUAGAUACCCCGGUAGUCCUGGCUGUAAACGAUGAGUGCUAGGUGUGGCAGGUAUCGACUCCUGCCGUGCCGGAGUAAACGCAAUAAGCACUCCGCCUGGGGAGUACGGUCGCAAGACUGAAACUCAAAGGAAUUGACGGGGGCCCGCACAAGCGGUGGAGUAUGUGGUUUAAUUCGACGCAACGCGAAGAACCUUACCAAGCCUUGACAUCUGAGGAAUCUGGAUGAAAGUCUGGAGUGCCCUUCGGGGAAUCUCAAGACAGGUGGUGCAUGGUUGUCGUCAGCUCGUGUCGUGAGAUGUUGGGUUAAGUCCGCUAACGAGCGCAACCCUUGUCCUUAGUUGCUAACAUUAAGUUGAGAACCCUAAGGAGACUGCCAGUGAUAAGCUGGAGGAAGGUGGGGAUGACGUCAAAUCAUCAUGCCCCUUACGUCUAGGGCUACAGGCGUGCUAUAAUGGCCAAUAUAAAGAGAAGCAAAGCUGUGAGGCAGAGCAAAACUCCAAAGUUGGUCUCAGUUCGGAUUGAAGUCUGCAACUCGACUUCAUGAAGUUAGAAUCGCUAGUAAUCCUGAAUCAGAAUGUCAGGGUGAAUACGUUCCCCGGGUGUUGUACACACCGCCCGUCACGCCACGAAAGUCUGUAAUACCCGAAAUGUGGUAGCCUAACCAGUAAAUGGAGGGGGCCAUUUAAGGUAGGACAGGUGAUUGGGGUGAAGUCGUAACAAGGUAACC
rnacentral:rRNA from 1 species